rnacentral:rRNA from 1 species
UACAGACCAAGUUGUUAAGAGCUAUUGGCGGAUGCCUUGGCAUUGACAGGCGAUGAAGGAUGCGUUUACCUGCAGUAAUCUUCGGUGAGCUGGUAUAGAGCUAUGACCCGGAGGUAUCCGAAUGGGGCAACCCGAUAGACUAAUAGUCCAUCAUUAUAUGUUGAAUACAUAGGCAUAUAAGGCGACACCCGCUGAACUGAAACAUCUUAGUAAGCGGAGGAAAAGAAAUCAAAGAGAUUCCCUGUGUAGCGGCGAGCGAAAGGGGAACAGCCUAAACCAUAUUUUUAAUAUGGGGUUGUAGGGUCGAUAACAUGGGAUCUUAAGUUUUAGUUGAAUACUUCUGGAAAGUUGAACGAUACAGGGUGAUAGUCCCGUUAACGAAAAAACAAAAGACGCUAAUCGAUACCUGAGUAGGGCUAGACACGUGAAACCUAGUCUGAAUCUGGGGAGACCACUCUCCAAGGCUAAAUACUAGUCAAUGACCUAUAGUGAACCAGUACUGUGAAGGAAAGGUGAAAAGAACCCUUGUUAAGGGAGCGAAAUAGAACCUGAAACCAGUAGCUUAUAAGCGGUCGGAGACCUAUAACUCUUCGGAGUAAUGGUUGACGGCGUGCCUUUUGCAUGAUGAGCCAGGGAGUUAAGUUAAACGGCGGGAUUAAGGGAUUUACAUUCCGGAGUCGAAGCGAAAGCGAGUUUUAAAAGAGCGUUUUAGUCGUUUGAUUUAGACACGAAACCAAGUGAGCUAUUUAUGACCAGGUUGAAGCAUUGGUAAGACUUUGUGGAGGACCGAACCAGUACAUGUUGAAAAAUGUUUGGAUGAGUUGUGAAUAGGGGUGAAAG